rnacentral:tRNA from 1 species
UUUUAGCUCAGCUGGUCUAGAGUGUCUGCCUUACACGCAGAAGGUCGUAGGUUCGAAUCCUACAAGG